UACGUAGGGGCUAGCGUUAUCCGGAAUUACUGGGCGUAAAGGGUGCGUAGGUGGUUUCUUAAGUCAGAGGUGAAAGGCUACGGCUCAACCGUAGUAAGCCUUUGAAACUGAGAAACUUGAGUGCAGGAGAGGAGAGUAGAAUUCCUAGUGUAGCGGUGAAAUGCGUAGAUAUUAGGAGGAAUACCAGUUGCGAAGGCGGCUCUCUGGACUGUAACUGACACUGAGGCACGAAAGCGUGGGGAGCAAACAGGAUUAGAUACCCGGGUAGUCCCUGAG
rnacentral:rRNA from 1 species